rnacentral:rRNA from 1 species
GAUGAACGCUGGCGGCGUGCCUAACACAUGCAAGUCGAGCGAUUCUCUUCGGAGAAGAGCGGCGGACGGGUGAGUAACGCGUGGGUAACCUGCCCUGUACACACGGAUAACAUACCGAAAGGUAUGCUAAUACGAGAUAAUAUACUCUUAUCGCAUGGUAGAAGUAUCAAAGCUUUUGCGGUACAGGAUGGACCCGCGUCUGAUUAGCUAGUUGGUAAGGUAACGGCUUACCAAGGCGACGAUCAGUAGCCGACCUGAGAGGGUGAUCGGCCACAUUGGAACUGAGACACGGUCCAAACUCCUACGGGAGGCAGCAGUGGGGAAUAUUGCACAAUGGGCGAAAGCCUGAUGCAGCAACGCCGCGUGAGCGAUGAAGGCCUUCGGGUCGUAAAGCUCUGUCCUCAAGGAAGAUAAUGACGGUACUUGAGGAGGAAGCCCCGGCUAACUACGUGCCAGCAGCCGCGGUAACAC